rnacentral:rRNA from 1 species
GAUGAACGCUAGCUACAGGCUUAACACAUGCAAGUCGAGGGGAAACGAUGAGAGAGCUUGCUCUCUUAGGCGUCGACCGGCGCACGGGUAAGUAACGCGUAUCCAACCUACCCAUUACAGGGGGAUAACCUUGCGAAAGUAAGACUAAUACCCCAUGGCAUUUUAUGGUGGCAUCAUUAUAGGAUUAAAGAUUUAUUGGUAAUGGAUGGGGAUGCGUCUGAUUAGCUUGUUGGCGGGGUAACGGCCCACCAAGGCAACGAUCAGUAGGGGUUCUGAGAGGAAGGUCCCCCACAUUGGAACUGAGACACGGUCCAAACUCCUACGGGAGGCAGCAGUGAGGAAUAUUGGUCAAUGGGCGAGAGCUUGAACCAGCCAAGUAGCGUGCAGGAUGACGGCCCUAUGGGUUGUAAACUGCUUUUAUAGGGGAAUAAAGUGAGCUACGUGUAGUUUAUUGCAUGUACCCUAUGAAUAAGGACCGGCUAAUUCCGUG